rnacentral:rRNA from 1 species
UACGUAGGGGGCAAGCGUUGUCCGGAUUUAUUGGGCGUAAAGAGCGUGUAGGCGGCUUUACAGGUCCGUUGUGAAAACUCGAGGCUCAACCUCGAGACGCCGGUGGAAACCGUAAAGCUAGAGUCCGGAAGAGGAGAGUGGAAUUCCUGGUGUAGCGGUGAAAUGCGCAGAUAUCAGGAAGAACCCCCGUGGCGAAGGCGGCUCUCUGGGACGGUACUGACGCUGAGACGCGAAAGCGUGGGGAGCGAACAGG